AUGAAUGAUAUCAUGUUCUCUUUCGAGAAAGAAGGAGGUAACCCACGACCUGCUCAUUUCAUGGCAGCAUUCAGAGAUGCAGUUGAUGAAUGUGGGCUCUCUGACUUGGGCUACUAUGGAGACAAAUACACGUGGCACCGAGGUCUGAUCCGGGAGCGUCUGGAUAGAGCUAUAUCAAAUGAAGAGUGGAACAACAUGUUUCCAGCAGCGAGAGUUGAACACUUAGAGUAUCAUAAAUCGGAUCACAGGCCUCUGUUG
rnacentral:rRNA from 1 species